rnacentral:rRNA from 1 species
UCAAAGGAAGUUGACGGGGGCCCGCACAAGCGGUGGAGCAUGUGGUUUAAUUCGACGCAACGCGAAGAACCUUACCAGGGCUUGACAUCCCCUGACCGCGUAUGAAAGUACGUUUUCACCCUCGGGUGACAGGGAGACAGGUGGUGCAUGGUUGUCGUCAGCUCGUGUCGUGAGAUGUUGGGUUAAGUCCCGCAACGAGCGCAACCCCUACGUUUAGUUGCUAACAGGUGAAGCUGAGCACUCUAGACGAACUGCCGUUGACAAAACGGAGGAAGGUGGGGAUGACGUCAAAUCAUCAUGCCCCUUAUGUUCUGGGCUACACACGUGCUACAAUGGCCGGUACAGACGGAGGCGAAGCCGCGAGGCGGAGCAAAUCCGAAAAAGCCGGUCUCAGUUCGGAUUGCAGGCUGCAAUUCGCCUGCAUGAAGUCGGAAUCGCUAGUAAUCGCAGGUCAGCAUACUGCGGUGAAUACGUUCCCGGGCCUU